ACGGUGUUUCUGUCUUUCUGUAUGGCCUUUCGCGAUGAUCGUCUAAGGCUAGAAUGAUGAUACUGGAUUUUUGGAUUGGGGAUUUGAUGGUUGCUGUUAUUGUAUGAGUCGAAGAGGUAUUGAUUGAUUGUUGGUGUUGUGGAGAUCUGGUUUUGGGAAUGUUUGAACGUCGGUUGUAGAAAUGCUUCUGCUCCUGUAUGCUCUUCGAUGAUGGUAUUGGAAUGUUAGGUCGCGUCCAGUGUUCAAUAAAAAGAAUUACGUCCUCGUGAAAAACCGCAAUAACUUCCAAUUUCCGAAAAUCUCGCGGUCGUAAUUUGUACGACAGAAAUCAGUCUUACGGACGCAUCUUUUUGUUCCAGCCCGAUCUUACGUAACAGCGAAGUGUCGAGGCGACCAGCGUGCAUUUGUCGAAGCUCCCGUUGAAAUCUUAAUAACGCGUUUCUUUCGCAACUGGGUUCGCGCAAAUCGGGGAAAAAAUGUGAUUGUUGCGGGCCGGAUUGUGCGUAUCGUUGCCGAAGGUGUUCGACGGCGCGGGCGGCACGGGGAUUUCGUUGGGUUUUUGCGACCGUUAACAGGAUGCUUUCACCGGUGGCGUAAUGGGAAUCAUUUGGCUCGAUUAGCAUCAAAUUGACCGUGUCUUCGGAUCACGGUAAUACCGCCGGUCAUUCGCAAGUAUUGCGUCACGUGUAAAACCACGUCGCCUGAUAAUGACGAGAUGCGACGGUCGAUAAAGUAAGAGCAGCGACGAUCAACGAUGCUCGUUAUCGGUGGAGUUGCAGUUUUUCGGGCAACGUGAGGAUUCUUUAUCACGAAACGAUUGUAUACGCGGAAAGCCACUGUGAGAUUGAUCUACACGGAUACAAUAAGAAUAUUUUCUCUUUGUUAUAUAAUUACAAGGUUUUUACAAGGAAACAUGGCUACCAGGAAUUAUUAUGAGCUGCUUGAAUAUUAGAAGCUGCUCGAGGAAUCUUGUUUCAACGGAAAUGAGCUAAUCGAAAAAGUGUGCGCAUAAUUGAUAUUAGACAGAGAACGUCGAAUAUUGAAAUUUAUUAUCAUUAAAUUUGUCGAAAUCAUGGUGGACUACUUCUAGCAAAACGUUGAAUUGACUUUCAAAAUUUCAAAAGACAGCCUUCCCUCUGUAACGUGGCGUGUUAUUAAUGAUUUGAUACAAGAGGAAGCG